AUUGAACGCUGGCGGAAUGCUUUACACAUGCAAGUCGAACGGCAGCACGGACUUCGGUCUGGUGGCGAGUGGCGAACGGGUGAGUAAUAUAUCGGAACGUGCCCAGUCGUGGGGGAUAACGUAGCGAAAGUUACGCUAAUACCGCAUACGAUCUACGGAUGAAAGCGGGGGAUCGCAAGACCUCGCGCGAUUGGAGCGGCCGAUAUCAGAUUAGGUAGUUGGUGGGGUAAAGGCUCACCAAGCCAACGAUCUGUAGCUGUUCUGAGAGGACGACCAGCCACACGGGAACUGCGACACGUUCAAGACUCCUCCGGGAGGCAGCGGUGGGCAAUUUUGAACAAUGGACGAAAGUCUGACCCAGCAAUCCGGCGUGCAGGAUGAAGGCCCUCGGGUUGUAAACUGCUUUUGUACAGAACAAAAAGGCUCUUCCUAAUACGGAGGGCUCAUGACGGUACUGUAAGAAUAAGCACCGGAUAACUAGGUCCCAGCAGCCGCCGUAA
rnacentral:rRNA from 1 species